GUGCAUAUCGAACUCCUUUGUGUUUAAGCCGAUACCCUCGUAAAAAUCAGUUCUUUGACAGUCGUUGAGGUACAUUGUCACAUACACCUGCAAGAACCAAAUCUCUUACCGGUUAGGCCAAUGUCUUGACGUAUUUGAAGUAGAGAGUUAAGAGAGUGUAGUCUAAUCACCGAGAGGCAGAAGAAGCGGGACCAGAGCUUGGCUUGCCAGUCAUUGAGGAACUGAGGCUGAGCUUUCAUCAAAGCAGAGAAGAAAUCUCCAUGGCGGUUCUCGUCUUGGCACCAGUUCUCAAAGUACUUGAAGAUUGGGUAACAUUGGUACUCAGGGUUUUGCUUGAGGUGUCUAUAGAUUGUGAUGUAUCUCCAGUACCCAAUUUUCUCGGAUAAGUAAGUCGCGUAGAAGAUGAAUUUCGGUUUGAAGAAAGUGUAUUUCCUUGCCUUUGUCAAGAAACCCAAAUCAAGAGCCAAGUUGAAAUCAGACAAACCCUUGUUCAAGAACCUGCAAAAAAAAGUUCCAUCAAAUUCAAGAACUUGAGUAAGUCCCUGCAGUUUCACACUAAGGAAGAGAUGUUCUUUGUAAAAAUAUCUUACCCGGCAUGUCUUGCUUCAUCUCUGGACAUAAGAGAGAAGAUCUCAGCCACAACAGGGUUUGUUUUCUGCAAUGCCAUCAGUUUAAAAAUUAAAGAUCAAACCAAUAAUGAUCCAAAAAAACAAUAUUCAAUUCUUAAGUUUUCCAACUAAUAAGUCGAUCUUCAAGUAUAAUGUAGACAAGAAACACUAAGCUAAGAACAACUCUUGAAAACACAGAGCUGAGAAAAUAGCAGCACCUUAUCUCAAUUAUCUUAUCUAAUGGGUAUAAAACUGAAAUGAUCUAAUAGUUUUGGAGUGAAAUCUCAAAAAAGAUACCUUGAGCCUUCUGCCAAGCUCUUUGUAGAGAAGAAAACCAGAGAAUUCGGCAGUACAAGACCGCUCAAGGAACUCGACGAAGAUCUGUCGGAGAGGUCCCUGCAAUUUGUCCGCGGCUUCCUUAAACUCCUUGUUCCUCACGAAAUGUGUCUGAUUGUAAUCGGUCUUAAACUCUUGAAGCAGAGCAAUGAAUUCUUCCUCGUUGAGGUUCUUGUUGAUCUCGGUGUUGAAAAGCUGCUCCAUCUCCUCAAAAUCCGUCGUGUAGAACCUCGGAGUCAGAAGCGACUCCUGAAUCUCUUUCUUCGUCCCCUUCUUGGAUUUCGAGGUGGCGGUGGCCGGAGGCGGCGGCGAGGAGGUGGCUGACAUUCUGAUCACGGUGGAGAAACGUCGGCCGGAGAGGUAUUUGCUCGGGUUAGUGAGCUUUGGGGUUGCGAACUUGGAGAUGGGUUUCACUAACGCCAUUUCAGCCGCCAUUGGUUGUGAGUUGCAGAAAGCAAGGGAGAGCGA
rnacentral:lncRNA from 1 species